GUAUGAUAUCACAGUAGCCGGCCCUAGAAGGCUAGAGCCACUCGGGCGUCCUGUAUAAAACCAUUCAUCCUCAAAAUGCUUCUCUAAGUCCAAACUCACAAAAAUCAUUCAAAAACCUCAUUCUAAUGGGUUAAAAUCCCAUAUAAUUGUAGAGCAAAAGAGCAUAUUUCUUAGCAAGUGCUCCGAAAAAAUAUUGAAUGAUGAUAUUGGAGGAGUGGGUUGGAUAUGCAUCAUUUAAUCAAAGAAGUCAAGUGCUUGGUUGAGAGUGAAGUUACCUGAUCUACUGAUUUCUUUCAGGGAUUUAUCAGGUGGGGGCUCUUGGAUUGUGAAUUAACAUAGGAGUUUUGUUUUGGGAUCGAAGUUGAGGGAUCUUUUGACUGAGUGAUCAAAAUAUUAGAAUUUUACCUAUUUUUGGCAACCAAAAGAAGCCCCAAAAAGGGUUCGAUUCCUUUGGAGUAACUUGCUGCUGAUUUGCACAGUAAAAGCUGCAGGAAGAAGCCGAAGCUGUGGGUGAUUAGAGAUCCACAAUAUUGAUUUGUAACAACUCCGGGCAGAAAAUGAAAGUGGAAACCCCAGCUGAUAAAUUGUUGAAAGGAAGGGUAGAUUAGGUUACUUCCUCUCAAUCAAGCGCUUAGUCUCUUUGAUUAAAUAAUUCAUGUACAGGCCACUCCUCCUUAUAUCAUUAUUCAAUAGUUUAUUUGGUGUUCUUGGUAAGAAUUAGGCAGAAAACUUUGAAAUGUUGUUUUGCUUUACAGUAUCUUGUGGUGGUGUUUGUUGCCGGAUUUGAUGGCGUCAACAUUUUAAUAAAAAGGGUUUUGAGCUUGUAGCUGUUACACUAUUUUCAGUUUCAAGUCCUUAUUAACUUUUUAUAGGUUUGUACGUCAAUUGUCUAUGUAUUAAAAUAUGCUUAUCUAUGGAAUAACUUUUUUUUU